AGUAAUACAUAAUGACUUUCAAAAGCGGGGGUAAUUACCUUUAUUUGUUAGAAUAUGUAUAUUUUAACUAAUUGCAAAAGCUAAAUAAUCAAUAAAUGUCUAACCAUGAAAUGUCGACCGAGUUUGGAGACACCUGGCUCAGCACAGUGAAAGUAUUUGAAGCUUUGUUUAUGAACAUGGCGGUGUGGUCAUACAAUGACUUUAAACCGGACACUACUCUGAGCUGUUCACAUUAUACAAAUGCUCCAGAUAUGUAAUCAGGUUCACCCUUUUGGAAUGGUAAACAUGACACUAUUCAUCACUCACACAAAUAAAUCAUUUAAUAUUUUGAUAAUUGAAUAGAUUUUUGCUGUUAAACUUUUUUUUUUUUUUUGUAACACAUUGCACUUCAUGUGUUUACAGAUUUGUGCAGAAUUUCAGACAUACAGAAUUACCAUAGGCCCAUUAGAAUCAACAAUCUUUGCCAAACUGGAUCCGCACUACAAAACUUAUGAAGAUGUUUGCAUACUGAAGAAGAGUCCUUGGACAAAUAAUGAAACCCUCUUGGUGCCCACUACACAGGCAGGGGUGUCCAGACCUGCUCUAGGAAAGCCAGUGUUCUGUGGAGUAUGGCUCUAACACACCUGUCUGGAACUUCUAACCAAUGAAAUUGAAGUAUCCAAAUGAAGACCCUAGCAGUAUGGAGUAUAUGGAUACAGACGUUGGCAGCAAUCAGGAGGUGAUCCAGAAGAUUUGUGGGAAUCUAUUUGAAGGUGCAUCAUUGAAGACAGUCCAGCAGAAGUUGGAGUUUUAAAGGAUAAAGUUCUUCAGGACCUAGCAGUUUACAGUCUGCAAAACUAUGUUUCUGGGACUGAUAUAUGGACUGAACUUGAGCAACCCUCCUGAACUCAGGUACACAUUUGGAAUACUGAAGAAGUUAUUUCUGGAGCCAGUUCCUGUUCCUGG